UACGGAGGGUGCAAGCGUUAUCCGGAUUCACUGGGCUUAAAGGGUGCGUAGGCGGGCAAGUAAGUCAGUGGUGAAAUCUCCGGGCUUAACCCGGAAACUGCCAUUGAUACUAUUUGUCUUGAAUACUGUGGAGGUCAGCGGAAUAUGUCAUGUAGCGGUGAAAUGCUUAGAUAUGACAUAGAACUCCAAUUGCGAAGGCAGCUGGCUACACAAAUAUUGACGCUGAGGCACGAAAGCGUGGGGAUCAAACAGG
rnacentral:rRNA from 1 species